GAUAUUGCACAAUGGGGGAAACCCUGAUGCAGCGACGCCGCGUGAGCGAAGAAGGCCNNNGGGUCNUCAAGCUCUGUCUCGUGNGACNAUAAUGACGGUACCCCGGGAGUAAGCCCCGGCUAACUCCGUGCCAGCAGCCGCGGUAAUACGUAGGGGGCAAGCGUUGUCCGGAAUUAUUGGGGGUAAAGGGUUGUUAGGCGGCCUUUUAAGUCAGGUGUGAAAGCCCACGGCUUAACCGUGGGAAUGCAUUUGAAACUGGAAGGCUUGAGUAUCGGAGAGGGUAGUGGAAUUCCCAGUGUAGCGGUGGAAUGCGUAGAUAUUGGGAGGAACACCAGUGGCGAAGGCGACUACCCGGACGAAAACUGACGCUGAGGCACGAAAGCUAGGGGAGCAAAC
rnacentral:rRNA from 1 species